rnacentral:rRNA from 1 species
GAAGGCUUUCGGGUCGUAAAACUCUGUUGUUAGGGAAGAACAAGUGCUAGUUGAAUAAGCUGGCACCUUGACGGUACCUAACCAGAAAGCCACGGCUAACUACGUGCCAGCAGCCGCGGUAAUACGUAGGUGGCAAGCGUUAUCCGGAAUUAUUGGGCGUAAAGCGCGCGCAGGUGGUUUCUUAAGUCUGAUGUGAAAGCCCACGGCUCAACCGUGGAGGGUCAUUGGAAACUGGGAGACUUGAGUGCAGAAGAGGAAAGUGGAAUUCCAUGUGUAGCGGUGAAAUGCGUAGAGAUAUGGAGGAACACCAGUGGCGAAGGCGACUUUCUGGUCUGUAACUGACACUGAGGCGCGAAAGCGUGGGGAGCAAACAGGAU